UCCAAUUCCCUUCCCCCGGGCAAACCCUAGACCCUCUCUUCUCUCUUCGUCUUCCUCUUCGCUUUUCCUACCGCCGCUCCGCUCCCUAUCUUCUUCCACCAUCGGCGUUGUCUUCCUCCGCCUUCCACCACCGUCGUCGACGCCCACGCCACCAUCAAAUCGUCGCGAGUGCUCGAGACUGGAUUUGCUGGCCCUAAUUGCAUCACCAGAUCUAACACACCGUGUUUCUCCGACGUAGUUUUGGUGGCUUCUGGCUCGAAGAACUCUGAUGGUUUGCAUUGCAUUUUUCAUUGAUUCGGCCGACCGUGUUGUACUGGUAUUCCUAUUUCACUUUUUUCAUUCUAUUUUUUUUUUUUCUAAAAAUACAAUUUUCCUACAAUUCAUUAUUAUACGAAUUAAAUAUUUGGGAUUUGGUCAUUUUAAUAUUAAUCCAGUUAUGGAUUGGAUGAUUGGGUGGUUUUGCCCAAAUUUUCUCUUGGUUAAUUUUUUCAUUUUAUUUGUUCGUAUUUUCUUCAUUUUUGCCACC
rnacentral:lncRNA from 1 species